rnacentral:rRNA from 1 species
AUUGAACGCUGGCGGCAGGCUUAACACAUGCAAGUCGAACGAGUGGCGGACGGGCGGGUAGUGCUUGGGAAUCUUGCUUAUGGAGGGGGAUAACUACGGGAAACUGUAGCUACUACCGCGUACCAUAGGCUGAGCCCAAGUGGGAUUAGGGAGUUGGUGAGGUAAAGGCACACCAAGCCGACGCUCUCUAGCUGGUCUGAGAGGAUGACCAGCCACACUGGAACUGAGACACGGUCCAGACUCCUACGGGAGGCAGCAGUGGGGAAUAUUGCACAAUGGGCGCAAGCCUGAUGCAGCCAUGCCGCGUGUAUGAAGAAGGCCUUCGGGUUGUAAAGUACUUUCAGCGGGGAGGCGUUACCCACAGAAGAAGCACCGGCUAACUCCGUGCCAGCAGCCGCGGUAAUAC